rnacentral:lncRNA from 1 species
CCCUAUUCCGAGAAGGCGCGUGGGCAGCGAGCGAGUUGCGCAGUUCUUUAAACCCGGCGCGUGGACUGAAGGAAUAUUUAACUUUAUUCAUGCAGUACUCCUAUAGAGACCGACAAGGAUUGUGCUUGCAAGCGCAUGCGAUUGUGGCUUGAUACAGUUACAAUAGGGUUUAUUAAUUCUUUUCAUCGUCUAGCAAAAACUGCAACAACCAUCUGGAAAGUGUUAAUUAGGAGAUUUAUUUAGCAAAGAAAAUAGGUAGUUCAAAGGGAGGUUGGGAAGGACCUAGCUGUGCUGUACCCAUGCCAGUCUGCUGCUAGUUGGAGCUACUGCAUUUCAAUGUGUUCUUCAAGAAGUUACAACACUCAAACAGCUAAAGCAACGCUGUGAUUCCCAAAUCAAAACGAAUUCACCUGAUCCUACCAAAGGCACAGCUGACAGAGGCAUCCGAGACUCUGGGGGUGAUUGGCAGACACUUUGCUCGCUUACUUUUUAUCCAGUUCUGAUUACUCCUAAUAAAACAUUACAUGAGAAGGUUUAGGUAAUCAUUUGAACCUGACAGAAAAUAAGACUUCUGAGGCCAUAGGCUGCUAUAAUCACUAAAAUACAUAAACUUCAAAACUGUACAAUGGAAAUAAAUUCACUAAAAUGAGGGUGACUCUAGCUAGAGGUACACAGACCACUGGACCACUGAAGUGCUCUUCAGAUCUGCGAUCCAAACAAUGGGCUCCAAUAAAACUACAUUGCAAAAAUGGGAAAGAAACGCAAUGGAAAGGGUAAAAAAGUGGGAAAGGCAGACCCUGAAAAAAAUUGUGGUAGAAAAAGUCCUGGACCAAUAGCCAGUGAACAAAAAGAAGCUGGUAAUGAAAAAGAUACAAAAAACCCUUACAUGACAGUGAGCCUGAAGAUAUCGGAUCAAGUGGGAGCAAAGCGUUGUGGCUACAGAUAUGAGACCUGGGCUGCAGACUGAUGUUUCCAUGACAUGGAAGGUGGAAGGCAGAUGAGCCCGGCUGGAUGCUGGCUGGAGGCAAAGGGGAAGUGUCCUCAAACUUAAUUGUUCUGAGUAAAGAACUGACCUGUCGUUCUUGUCCUUCUUGUCCAGAACAUGACCUUGCUAAUUGUUUGCACUUUUAAAUUUCUUUUAAUGUUUUAAUGUUUUGUUUAUUUAUUGUGUGUUUGUUUGCUCACCCACAGGCCAAAGCACAGGUGUGGAGAUCAGAAGACAACUUCUAGAGUUGGGUCUUUGCUUCCACCAUGUGGGCCCCAGGGAUGGGAUAAUGUCAUUGAGCAUAUACAUAUAUAUGCACAUGUAUUAUUGUAUAUAAUCUGGGUCUUGUUUUUUUAAUUACUAGUGUGAAAAGGUAACUACAUUCUAAUAAAG